UACGUAGGGGGCAAGCGUUGUCCGGAAUCAUUGGGCGUAAAGGGCGCGUAGGCGGCUUUUCAAGUGACGGGUGAAAUCCCUCGGCUUAACCGAGGAACUGCCUGUCAGACUGGAAGGCUUGAGACCGGGAGAGGUGAGUGGAGUUCCCAGUGUAGCGGUGAAAUGCGUAGAUAUUGGGAGGAACACCAGUGGCGAAGGCGGCUCACUGGGUCUCUUCUGACGCUGAGGCACGAAAGCUAGGGUAGCGAACGGG
rnacentral:rRNA from 1 species